AAAAGAAACUAACAAGGAUUCCCCUAGUAACUGCGAGUGAAGCGGGAAAAGCUCAAAUUUAAAAUCUGGCAGUCUUUGAUUGUCCGAGUUGUAAUCUAGAGAAGUGUUACCCGCGUUGGACCGUGUACAAGUCUCCUGGAAUGGAGCGUCAUAGAGGGUGAGAAUCCCGUCUUUGACACGGACUCCCAAGGCUUUGUGGUGCGCUCUCAAAGAGUCGAGUUGUUUGGGAAUGCAGCUCAAAAUGGGUGGUAAAUGCCAUCUAAAGCUAAAUACAGGCGAGAGACCGAUAGCGAACAAGUACCGUGAGGGAAAGAUGAAAAGAACUUUGGAAAGAGAGUUAAACAGUACGUGAAAUUGCUGAAAGGGAAACGCUUGAAGUCAGUCGCGUUGGCUGGAAAUCAACCUUGCUCUUGUUGGGUGUACUUUCCAGUUGAUGGGUCAGCAUCAGUUUUGACCAGUGGAAAAAGGCGUAGGAAAUGUGGCUUCUUCGGAAGUGUUAUAGUCCUGCGUUGUAUACAUUGGUUGGGACUGAGGAACUCAGCACGCCGAAAGGCCGGGGCUCGCCCACGUACGUGCUUAGGAUGCUGGCAAAAUGGCUUUAAUCGACCCGUCUUGAAACACGGACCAAGGAGUCUAACAUGCCUGCGAGUGUUUGGGUGGUAAACCCGAGCGCGCAAUGAAAGUGAAAGUUGAGAUCCCUGUCGUGGGGAGCAUCGACGCCCUGACCAGACCUUUUGUGACGGAUCAGCGGUAGAGCAUGUAUGUUGGGACCCGAAAGAUGGUGAACUAUGCCUGAAUAGGGUGAAGCCAGAGGAAACUCUGGUGGAGGCUCGUAGCGAUUCUGACGUGCAAAUCGAUCGUCAAAUUUGGGUAUAGGGGCGAAAGACUAAUCGAACCAU
rnacentral:rRNA from 1 species